CUCACUCUCUGCCUGGUGUUCGUGGAGGUUGUGGUGACGGCUGAAGGCGCGGAUUGCAUGCUGGUGUGUGGUGUGGUGUGGUGAUGCAGUUAAAGCGGAAUGGUGAUACCUCCUCCUCAUCAGCUAAUCAACACUUCAACGACGGGUUGUGGUGACGGCUGGAGGUGCGGGGAUUGAAGGCUGGUGUGGUGUGGUGUGGUGUGGUGUGGUGACGCAGCUCGCGGAAUGGUGACUCUCUCUUCAUAAGCUACAGUUUUCCACACUUCAAUAACUGUGGUGACGGCGGGAGGCGGAACGCUGGUGCUGGUGCCGCGGCAAGCGUAAUGGUGACGCCACGCGGUGUGUGCGGCUCGGUAAUGGUGUUGUAGUAUCGCUGGUGUGUUGUUAUUGUAACGGUGUGUGUCAGACUCGUUGGUUGGUUGUUUCCGGUUAAUGAGCAGCAGUGUUUAAGUCAAGGGACUCCCAAAGUAUAAAAUAUUUAUUGGUUUUUCUUUUUUUUUUUAAAUUUUUCCCCAUUUUGCGGAGCAAAUACCUGUUCUCCGGAGACUCUUCGAGGUAUUGUUAACAAAUUUUUACA
rnacentral:lncRNA from 1 species